GACGUGGUUGACACUUAGGAGCAAGGCUUUCCUAAAGCCGAGGUCGGAGGUUGGAGUCCUCCCGGGGUCGCCA
rnacentral:tRNA from 1 species